rnacentral:misc_RNA from 1 species
GAAAUGCGAUAAGUAAUGUGAAUUGCAGAAUUCAGUGAAUCAUCGAAUCUUUGAACGCACAUUGCGCCCGCCAGUAUUCUGGCGGGCAUGCCUGUUCGAGCGUCAUUUCAACCAUCAAGCCCCGGGCUUGUGUUGGGGACCUGCGGCUGCCGCAGGCCCUGAAAACCAGUGGCGGGCUCGCUGUCACACCGAGCGUAGUAGAUUCUCAUCUCGCUCAGGGCGUGCUGCGGGUUCCGGCCGUAAAACAGCCCUAUUUUACCCAAGGUUGACCUCGGAUCAGGUAGGAAGACCCGCUGAACUUAAGC